rnacentral:rRNA from 1 species
CGAGCGGAUGAAGAGAGCUUGCUCUCUGAUUCAGCGGCGGACGGGUGAGUAAUGCCUAGGAAUCUGCCUGAUAGUGGGGGACAACGUUUCGAAAGGAACGCUAAUACCGCAUACGUCCUACGGGAGAAAGCAGGGGACCUUCGGGCCUUGCGCUAUCAGAUGAGCCUAGGUCGGAUUAGCUAGUUGGUGAGGUAACGGCUCACCAAGGCGACGAUCCGUAACUGGUCUGAGAGGAUGAUCAGUCACACUGGAACUGAGACACGGUCCAGACUCCUACGGGAGGCAGCAGUGGGGAAUAUUGGACAAUGGGCGAAAGCCUGAUCCAGCCAUGCCGCGUGUGUGAAGAAGGUCUUCGGAUUGUAAAGCACUUUAAGUUGGGAGGAAGGGCAUUAACCUAAUACGUUAGUGUUUUGACGUUACCGACAGAAUAAGCACCGGCUAACUUCGUGCCAGCAGCCGCGGUAAUACGAAGGGUGCAAGCGUUAAUCGGAAUUACUGGGCGUAAAGCGCGCGUAGGUGGUUUGUUAAGUUGAAUGUGAAAGCCCCGGGCUCAACCUGGGAACUGCAUCCAAAACUGGCAAGCUAGAGUAUGGCAGAGGGUGGUGGAAUUUCCUGUGUAGCGGUGAAAUGCGUAGAUAUAGGAAGGAACACCAGUGGCGAAGGCGACCACCUGGGCUAAUACUGACACUGAGGUGCGAAAGCGUGGGGAGCAAACAGGAUUAGAUACCCUGGUAGUCCACGCCGUAAACGAUGUCGACUAGCCGUUGGGAUCCUUGAGAUCUUA